CCUACGGGCGGCUGCAGUGGGGAAUAUUGCACAAUGGGCGCAAGCCUGAUGCAGCCAUGCCGCGUGUGUGAAGAAGGCCUUCGGGUUGUAAAGCACUUUCAGCGGGGAGGAAGGCGUUAAGGUUAAUAACCUUGUCGAUUGACGUUACCCGCAGAAGAAGCACCGGCUAACUCCGUGCCAGCAGCCGCGGUAAUACGGAGGGUGCAAGCGUUAAUCGGAAUUACUGGGCGUAAAGCGCACGCAGGCGGUCUGUCAAGUCGGAUGUGAAAUCCCCGGGCUCAACCUGGGAACUGCAUUCGAAACUGGCAGGCUAGAGUCUUGUAGAGGGGGGUAGAAUUCCAGGUGUAGCGGUGAAAUGCGUAGAGAGCUGGAGGAAUACCGGUGGCGAAGGCGGCCCCCUGGACAAAGACUGACGCUCAGGUGCGAAAGCGUGGGGAGCAAACAGGAUUAGAUACCCCGGUAGUC
rnacentral:rRNA from 1 species